UGGAGAGAGAAAUCUUUGAGGCGAGAGAGGGAAUAAAAAUAAAAACAAAAAAAUCGUUCACACUCCACUUUCCUCUCCUCUGAUGAGUCUCGCCUCUAUUUAAGGCUUAAGCUAAGUCAUACUGCCUUCCCCUUAGGGUUUAUUCAUGUACCUGAAAUGAAAGGCCUCCACACAAACAAAAAUUGAAUCCAGAAAACGCCAUGAUCGGUGGUGUUCACAUUUUAUUGUGUUGAGUUCUUUCUUAAAAAAAAAAAAAUCAUGAUGCUGAUUUGGUUUUUCUCCUCUUACUGCUUGCUCCAUUCAUAGAGCGUCUAUACUCUAUAUACUCAUCUGGAAUCUGAGUCAGCUAACAGUGUUCAAUUCUUUUGGGGCCAAAUUAAAUGUUGGGAUGAGCGGGAGGAUGAAUAAGUGGUCCCAUUUGAAGAUGGCUUGGAUUGAACACUCCCAGAUCAACCGAAAAGACGGUUACAUAACAAACCCACCUCCUCUUGUUUCAACAUCCCCAUAUUCUGGAACUUUCCAGAAAGAACCUUCUGCUUCAACAACACCCUCACCUUCCACAUCCGGUGCUAAAAUCAGUCCAGCUGUGCUCUUCAUCAUAGUGAUUCUAGCUGUUCUUUUCUUCAUCUCCGGUCUCCUUCACCUUCUUGUUAGGUUUCUCGUUAAAAACCCUUCAUCUUCCUCUGCAUCUGCUCAACCUAAUCGGCACCAUGAAGGUUCUCUCUCUGACACUCUUCAGAGGCAGCUUCAGCAGCUUUUCCAUCUCCAUGACUCUGGUCUUGACCAGGCUUUCAUCGAUGCGCUUCCUGUUUUCCAGUACAAGGAGAUCAAGGGGCCGAAGGAGCCUUUCGACUGCGCCGUUUGCCUCUGCGAGUUUUCCGACAAGGAUAAGCUCCGGUUGCUCCCUGUGUGCAGCCAUGCCUUCCACAUCAGCUGUAUAGACACAUGGCUUCUUUCGAAUUCCACUUGCCCACUCUGUAGAGGAACACUCUUCGCGCCGGGGUUUUCCAUGGAGAAUCCGGUGUUUGAUUUCAAUGAUUUGAGGGAAGACGAGGGCUGCCAAUUCCCCUGUAGUAACAAUAACAAUGGAGGGAAGAUGGUUGCAGUUCAAGAGAUUGAAGAAGCUGCGGACAAGGGGGUUGUCCCUGUGAGGCUUGGUAAAUUUAGGAGGGUUGAUUUGGAGGCGGCUGAGCCGGAAGGUGGAGAGGCUAGUAGUAGUAAUUUGGAUGCAAGAAGAUGUUUCUCAAUGGGGUCUUACCAGUAUGUACUUGGAAAAUCGGAUCUCCGGAUAACCUUGAAUUGUGAUCAUCGCCGGCAGGGUCGCGGCGAUGAUAAUUCGGAGGAGGGAUCAAGUGAGGUUGAGAGGGAAGGAAAGAACAUUAGUAGUGUUAGCAGAGGAGAGAGCUAUUCUGUUUCCAAAAUAUGGUUGUGGUCAAAGAAGGGAAAAUUUUCAGUUUCUUCAGAUGCACACAACAUUGGAUUACCAUCUUCUCUUGAUUCAGAUUUGCCUUGGAUGAGAGAAAUGGAAGGUACAUCAGAAAAGAUGAUAAAAGAAAGUUGGGUAAUUUGAUUUGGGCCAAUUCAUGAAAGGGAACCUGAAGUACUUUUCAGAUCUUAUCCUAAUUGCAUUCUCUGCCAUUUGCAUUCAGCUUCAAACAAAGAUCAAUGAGAGAAUUGCGGCAGGGCAUUUUCGCUUCAGCAUCAACUGAACUAAGAGGCUAUGAUACUUCCUUUAUAAAAGAAUCUCCAUCACCUUCCUGUUCUUCUACCGAAUAUCUUACCACAAACCCAAGUUUUGCAUUACCCUCCUCAACACAAUCUGUCAACAUACCCAUCUCUUCAUUUGGUGUUUGAGCCAUAACAUUCAGAAGACAACAGCAGAAGCAGUCAUCUGGAACCAUGCACAAAUCCGAGAGUUGAUUACAUAUCUUCACAACAUCAUCAGUUCGCUUGGCUUUUAUAUAGCACUGGAUCAUCGAUGUCAGAACAAGGAUAGUAGACUCAAUUCUGGAUUCAAUAAUCUCAUUCAACAUCACCUCCGCCUCUGAAACUUUGCGGUAGCACGAAUACAAUUAUACAAGGUGAUCAUGGAUGAAUAUGUCCAACUGUCAGGCUGUCUAGUCCCAGAACUUUUCAUGUCCCUGAAAAUCCCAACACCUUCAUCGACAUGGUGAACAUCAGUACACAUCGCCAAAAGCACAUUAUAAAGAAUCAAACUCAUCUCAAUUUCCUUAUAAACACUUAGAGCAUCAUCAGUUCAUCACUAAACUGUGCUCUAACAUACACUUAUAACAGAUGCAUAGCAGCAUAGGUCAUCAAAUCCGUUGAGAACGCAUUACUUAUCAUCUCUGAAUAUAUAUAUAUUGCCAAGUUAGGCCUCACAUCAAGUUCCUUCAUUUCUUGGUACACACUCAAGCAUCCAUCAUAGUUUCCCUACAUUCCAAUCAUCUUAAUCAAUGCUGAGAAUGUCACUGCAUCAAGGCGCCACGCCUCCAGCUUCGCUCGAUCAUAGAGCUUCAGGGCCAUGUCAGCACUGCCAGUGAGUGCAUAAGCAUACACCAUAGCCGAACAGGUAAAUUCCGUCCGGCUCGCACCCAUAACCCGGAAUUCUCUCAAACCAAUCGACAGCCUUAUCGGGCAAAGCAUGGCACAGUUGAUCAAAGUGGAGAAAGUAAUGUUAUUAAGCUGCACCCCUCUCUGAAGCAUUUCAUCAAACAGCAUCUCCGCAGCUUGGAAAUCUAUGCAUUUCCUACACAGCCUGAGGGGGUAACGUUAUUGAGAAUCAAUUCUAAUUUAAAUGUAUAGGGUUCUAUUAAAAUCAAAUAUUAUGUGCAUUAUGUUAAAUUUUAUUAGUC